rnacentral:rRNA from 1 species
AGUGAACGCUGGCGGUAGGCCUAACACAUGCAAGUCGAACGGCAGCACAGUAAGAGCUUGCUCUUACGGGUGGCGAGUGGCGGACGGGUGAGGAAUACAUCGGAAUCUACUUUUUCGUGGGGGAUAACGUAGGGAAACUUACGCUAAUACCGCAUACGACCUACGGGUGAAAGCAGGGGAUCCUCGGACCUUGCGCGAUUGAAUGAGCCGAUGUCGGAUUAGCUAGUUGGCGGGGUAAAGGCCCACCAAGGCGACGAUCCGUAGCUGGCCUGAGAGGAUGAUCAGCCACACUGGAACUGAGACACGGUCCAGACUCCUACGGGAGGCAGCAGUGGGGAAUAUUGGACAAUGGGCGCAAGCCUGAUCCAGCCAUACCGCGUGGGUGAAGAAGGCCUUCGGGUUGUAAAGCCCUUUUGUUGGGAAAGAAAAGCAGCAGGUUAAUACCCCGCUGUUCUGACGGUACCCAAAGAAUAAGCACCGGCUAACUUCGUG